rnacentral:rRNA from 1 species
GAUGAACGCUGGCGGCGUGCCUAAUACAUGCAAGUAGAACGCUGAAGGAAGGAGCUUGCUCUUUCCGGAUGAGUUGCGAACGGGUGAGUAACGCGUAGGUAACCUGCCUGGUAGCGGGGGAUAACUAUUGGAAACGAUAGCUAAUACCGCAUAACAGUAGAUGUUGUAUGAUAUCUACUUAAAAGGUGCAAUUGCACCACUACCAGAUGGACCUGCGUUGUAUUAGCUAGUUGGUGAGGUAACGGCUCACCAAGGCGACGAUACAUAGCCGACCUGAGAGGGUGAUCGGCCACACUGGGACUGAGACACGGCCCAGACUCCUACGGGAGGCAGCAGUAGGGAAUCUUCGGCAAUAGACGGAAGUCUGACCGAGCAACGCCGCGUGAGUGAAGAAGGUUUUCGGAUCGUAAAGCUCUGUUGUAAGAGAAGAACGAGUGUGAGAGUGGAAAGUUCACACUGUGACGGUAUCUUACCAGAAAGGGACGGCUAACUACGUG